CAUGUGCUCCCUCCGUCCGAAAAUACUUGUCAUCAGAAUGGACAAAAAGAGAUUUUUCUAGAACUAAAAUACAUCUAGAUACACCCCCUUUUAUUCAUUUUGAUGAGAAGUAUUUCCGGACAGAGGGAGUAUAUG
rfam:Triticum aestivum genome assembly, contig: Triticum_aestivum_CS42_TGACv1_scaffold_471215_6AL